rnacentral:tRNA from 1 species
UUUUAUUUAGUUUAAGUAAAAAUAAGGGUUUGUCAAAUCCUAGAUAUUUAUACAAAAAUAGUAAAAA